rnacentral:rRNA from 1 species
CUUAACACAUGCAAGUCGAACGAUGAAGCNGGAGCUUGCUCUGGUGGAUUAGUGGCGAACGGGUGAGUAACACGUGAGUAACCUGCCCUUGACUCUGGAAUAAGCGUUGGAAACGACGUCUAAUACCGGAUACGAGCUUCCGCCGCAUGGUGAGGAGCUGGAAAGAAUUUCGGUCAAGGAUGGACUCGCGGCCUAUCAGGUAGUUGGUGAGGUAAUGGCUCACCAAGCCUACGACGGGUAGCCGGCCUGAGAGGGUGACCGGCCACACUGGAACUGAGACACGGUCCAGACUCCUACGGGAGGCAGCAGUGGGGAAUAUUGCACAAUGGGCGCAAGCCUGAUGCAGCAACGCCGCGUGAGGGACGACGGCCUUCGGGUUGUAAACCUCUUUUAGUAGGGAAGAAGCGAAAGUGACGGUACCUGCAGAAAAAGCACCGGCUAACUACGUGCCAGCAGCCGCGGUAAUACGUAGGGUGCAAGCGUUAUCCGGAAUUAUUGGGCGUAAAGAGCUCGUAGGCGGUUUGUCGCGUCUGCUGUGAAAACUGGGGGCUCAACCCCCAGCCUGCAGUGGGUACGGGCAGACUAGAGUGCGGUAGGGGAGAUUGGAAUUCCUGGUGUAGCGGUGGAAUGCGCAGAUAUCAGGAGGAACACCGAUGGCGAAGGCAGAUCUCUGGGCCGUAACUGACGCUGAGGAGCGAAAGCAUGGGGAGCGAACAGGAUUAGAUACCCUGGUAGUCC